AGAGAAAGAGAGAGCGUGCCAUUGUUGCAGGGAUGUUCAUGAUUAUUCGAGAAGGAUCAGCAGGAGGGGCAGGUAGUACUGGCGGCAUGAGCGCUCCACCAGAGAGAACAGCCAAACAGGUCCAGGCCGCAAUCAAGAAGAAAGUGGAGAAACAGAGAAAGCAAGUUGAAAUGGGUGUGGUGGAGGUAUUUAACAGUAAUUCAAGACCUAAAAUGGGACAGAAAAAGAAUCAGCCCCUCCAUCCACCCAGCAGAAAUGGAGAUGGUGAGGAGGAAGAUGAGGAGGAGCCUGUUGAGACUGGGGAACAGAAGGAGAAGGAGAAGGAGGAACUCAGCCUCAGACCCAUCGUGGAUUCUGUUUUUGGCCAAGACAGGGAACUGCGGCCAGAAGAGAUAGAAGAACUAAGAGAAGCCUUUAAAGAGUUUGAUAGGAACAAAGGCUACAUCAACUGCAGGGACCUGGGCGAAUGCAUGCGGACGAUGGGAUACAUGCCAACAGAGAUGGAACUCAUUGAACUGAGUCAACAAAUAAGUGGGGGUAAAAUUGACUUUGAGGACUUUGUGGAACUCAUGGGCCCCAAAAUGCUGGCAGAGACAGCAGACAUGAUUGGAGUCAAGGAGCUGAGAGAUGCCUUUAAAGAGUUUGACUCCAAUGGAGAUGGGCAAAUCAGCAUCACAGAACUGAGAGAAGCCAUGAAGAAGCUAAUGGGGGAGCAGCUAAAUUCCAGGGAUAUUGACGAUAUACUUUGUGAUGCUGACCUCAACGGGGACGGACUUGUUGAUUUUGAAGAGUUUGUGAGGAUGAUGUCACGCUGACGAAAGCCACACAGAGAGACUUUAUUUUCAUCAUGAGACUCUAAGAGGGACAUAUGAAACGAGUGGUUCCUGCUUACGUUACUUGUAUCAUAUGACUCUGAACUCGGACAGAACGGUAAGCUAUAUGACAGACAGAAGUGCACUUCUUUUCAGUGUAUUUAAAAGAAAUGUAAUCAAACACGUCAUUUUGCAUCGUUUGGACCAACGCUUCAGUUUUAGAAACACUUCACGAUUAGAAAUAGAAUUGGUGGAGUGCUUUAUGUUUGAUGG